rnacentral:rRNA from 1 species
GCUUAGAGAGGGGUCAAUGUCCUAUCAGCUAGUUGGUAAGGUAAUGGCUUACCAAGGCUAAGACGGGUAGCCGGCCUGAGAGGGUGGUCGGCCACACUGGGACUGAGACACUGCCCAGACUCCUACGGGAGGCUGCAGUCGAGAAUCUUUCGCAAUGCCCGAAAGGGUGACGAAGCGACGCCGCGUGUGGGAAGAAGGCCUUCGGGUUGUAAACCACUGUCGGGAGUUAAGAAAUGUAAGGGUGCUAAUAGCAUCCUUACUUGACUAAGGCUCCGGAGGAAGCCACGGCUAACUCUGUGCCAGCAGCCGCGGUAAUACAGAGGCGGCAAGCGUUGUUCGGAAUUAUUGGGCGUAAAGAGCACGUAGGCGGCUUUGUAAGUCAGUUGUGAAAGCCUUCCGCUUAACGGAAGAACAGCAUCUGAUACUGCAAGGCUAGAGUGCGGAAGGG